CCUACGGGUGGCUGCAGUAGGGAAUCUUCCGCAAUGGGCGAAAGCCUGACGGAGCAACGCCGCGUGAGUGAUGACGGCCUUCGGGUUGUAAAGCUCUGUUAAUCGGGACGAAAGGCCUUCUUGCGAAUAGUUAGAAGGAUUGACGGUACCUGUCGAGGAAGCCACGGCUAACUACGUGCCAGCAGCCGCGGUAAUACGUAGGUGGCAAGCGUUGUCCGGAAUUAUUGGGCGUAAAGCGCGCGCAGGCGGAUUGGUCAGUCUGUCUUAAAAGUUCGGGGCUUAACCCCGUGAUGGGAUGGAAACUGCCAAUCUAGAGUAUCGGAGAGGAAAGUGGAAUUCCUAGUGUAGCGGUGAAAUGCGUAGAUAUUAGGAAGAACACCAGUGGCGAAGGCGACUUUCUGGACGAAAACUGACGCUGAGGCGCGAAAGCCAGGGGAGCGAACGGGAUUAGAUACCCCGGUAGUC
rnacentral:rRNA from 1 species